rnacentral:rRNA from 1 species
GGGGAAUAUUGGACAAUGGGCGAAAGCCUGAUCCAGCAAUGCCGCGUGAGUGAUGAAGGCCUUAGGGUCGUAAAGCUCUUUUACCCGGGAUGAUAAUGACAGUACCGGGAGAAUAAGCCCCGGCUAACUCCGUGCCAGCAGCCGCGGUAAUACGGAGGGGGCUAGCGUUGUUCGGAAUUACUGGGCGUAAAGCGCGCGUAGGCGGCUUUGUAAGUCAGAGGUGAAAUCCCGGGGCUCAACUCCGGAACUGCCUUUGAAACUGCAUCGCUUGAAUCCGGGAGAGGUGAGUGGAAUUCCGAGUGUAGAGGUGAAAUUCGUAGAUAUUCGGAAGAACCCCAGUGGCGAAGGCGGCUCACUGGACCGGUAUUGACGCUGAGGUGCGAAAGCGUGGGGAGCAAAC